AUGCUGGCGCAGUCGCUCGCCAGCCGGCCGGCACACAUGCCAGCACACACAAAAUGGUGGGACUUGGAGUUCUACCACGCCAUUGCGGCUUCCGUGGUCAUGCCGGCACACCUGCCGGCAUACAAAAAGAUGGCCCUCGACGCCAUAGAUCAGUCGUCCUGGAACUUGAGCAUGUCGGCCUGCAUCUUCUCGAACCACGGCCCCUUCCUUGGCGACAAGGCGUUGAGAUCCACCUUCAUGAUCUCCCCCCCGUCAUCAUGCUUGCAAGAGCCACUUCUUUCGCCUUUGUCUUGGCGUUGGAUGCCUCGAUCUCUAGCAUCUUGGCUUGCUUCUCGGCCUCGAGCUCGAACAUCUUGGCUUGCUUCUCGGCGUCAAGCUCAAGCCUCAUCCUUUGGAUCUCCAUGA
rnacentral:rRNA from 1 species